AACUUUUAACAACGGAUCUCUUGGCUCUCGCAUCGAUGAAGAACGCAGCGAAAUGCGAUAAGUAAUGUGAAUUGCAGAAUUCAGUGAAUCAUCGAAUCUUUGGACGCACCUUGCGCUCCUUGGUAUUCCGAGGAGCAUGCCUGUUUGAGUGUCA
rnacentral:rRNA from 1 species